UGUUCUUUCUCACCCAUGCGACUGAUCUUCUAUCUGCUGCUGCCGCGUGCCGUGCUUCUGGAUCUAGGCGAGCAGGGCGGCAUGAUCUUCUUGGUGGGUGUGGAGGAUGAGGAGAAUGGCAGUGAGGGAAGGAACAGCGAGGCUGGAGUUCCAGACGGUGCUGGCCAUGGUACCUGUCCCCAAUCUAGGUUGCCAAUAUGCAGCCUCCUUGAUUUAUGGUUUUUUAAACACACAUAUGCAGACCUGAGGAAAAAGAGAAGAGGGUGAAUCUUGAUGAAAAGUUUGAACAAAGUGAUCUCUCCCUCUCUCUUGAACACUACUAUCACGUUCAUAUGUUCUGCAUAAGGCUAUCUUAUUUGGUGUGCCAGAGAGUAUUUAUAGUUAGAAUAUUACAUUCUUCAUGUCUUAUAUAAAAUCUUCUUUGAACAAUGUUCUUUAAUUUCUAGAUUUGUUGCAGGUUCGAAGAUAUAAAUCUAAUUGAUAUAUUGUCGAUGGGGAUUAAGUACUGUAAUGAUAUACCUGAGAAUUUUGAUGAUAUAUCUGCUACCAGGUUGAAUAUUGACCACAAAUUAAUUUUUGUGUGUGCUUCUGCUCAUUUAAGUGCAUAAUUUGGUCACAAACCUCCUGUUGUAGCUACGAAGUUCAUUGUGUGAUGCCUACAAGUUAUUGGUCUUAUUUUUGGUGUAAAGCUGCAGGCCGAGUUCAGAUUGUUCUUUUGACAGAAAUGGAACAGGUAAUGCUACAGCCUAAGCAUUGUAUAGUAUAAAUUCAAAGGUCAUGUAAUAUUUUACUUAGGUUCAUUCAAAUAUCUGGAAUUGACAUGCAUAUGUUUCUUGUAUGUGCACAGAUUGUUGGUUGUAUCUUAAUAUGAGUUCUUUAUGUUGCUUGCCUAAAUUCAGAAGUGAACUUUUGCUGUAUAUUUGGUCGAUGUGUGUCCUGUAAACCGUAAACUUACUAGGUGUACAUGUACAUGCGUAUUUGUUACACUAUUAUCAUAUAUAACACUUCCAGAUUAGAAUAUACAGAUAUCUCCUUUUUACAUAAAUAAUCGUGAUUGUUCUCAUACAAUUUGGCAUUUCAAGAAUAUCGCAGCCACACAAGCUAAAGGUUCAGGAAGUUUAGGGAAAGAAAAGUUCUUAUUGACAAAGAUGGUGGUGAGUUUUAUCUGGUAUCACUUUUUGACAUGGACAUGUACCAUAUGAUUGUUGAGUUUCAUCUGAUUUCACUUUUUGACAUGGCCAUAUACCAUGGGGUGUAGUAUUUAUGAAGAGUGGCUUGGAAAUUGCAAGUAGAUGGUUGCUCUAGCCGUAUAGCUUAUUUAAUUAGGAGUGAGAUGCUUGCUAAGAUGAAUGGUGUUUCUGUAAGGGCAGACAUAUUCCUAGCACUGGAUUAUGCACAUGUAUAUAUGGAUACUUCUAUACGAAUGCAGCUCACACUUACCACGGUCAGAAGAGUCUUGCAUGGAUAUAUCAUGUGAUGUGACACUGGAAUAAUUGGCCUGGAGUUCACCAGCGUGACCGAGCGCAGUGCAACAGAGCUGUUCAACACGUGUUGGCACAUGACUACCAUGGAAGAGGAUCUCGCUGGAACGCUGCCGUUUCUUCAGUUUGGAAUUUUGUUAACAAUUUUGUAACCUUGAUUGCGCUGAGCAUAAGCAGGAUCUACGCAUUAUUCUGUUGACUUUGCUCACUCCCGAAAAGAAGAGGACUAUGGACCUGAGUGGGAAUGGAGGCAGGAUAUUCUUCUGGAUGGCUAUGCUGAGGUGGUGGUUGGUCGGAUCCAUGGUGUAGGCAAAGUUGGUCAGCAUGGUGGAGUUGUGCUGUGGGGAAGACCCUGGAUUAGAUAUCUGCGCGGCUAUCUGCGUGCUGGGUGGAUCAGUGUAGCCCACCUCGGGAUGGAGGCAAGCGGCGCUUCACUGGUGCCUCGCCAUGCCACAACAGUGGCCUUCACAAUGUUUAAUCAUAAGACCACUAUUUUUGUGUCUAUAUGCAGUGUUCACUUCGUCUAU